rnacentral:rRNA from 1 species
UGGGGAAUAUUGGACAAUGGGGGGAACCCUGAUCCAGCCAUGCCGCGUGUGUGAAGAAGGCCUUUUGGUUGUAAAGCACUUUAAGCGAGGAGGAGGCUACCGAGAUUAAUACUCUUGGAUAGUGGACGUUACUCGCAGAAUAAGCACCGGCUAACUCUGUGCCAGCAGCCGCGGUAAUACAGAGGGUGCAAGCGUAAAUCGGAUUUACUGGGCGUAAAGCGCGCGUAGGUGGCCAAUUAAGUCAAAUGUGAAAUCCCCGAGCUUAACUUGGGAAUUGCAUUCGAUACUGGUUGGCUAGAGUAUGGGAGAGGAUGGUAGAAUUCCAGGUGUAGCGGUGAAAUGCGUAGAGAUCUGGAGGAAUACCGAUGGCGAAGGCAGCCAUCUGGCCUAAUACUGACACUGAGGUGCGAAAGCAUGGGGAGCAAACAGG